AGGGCAAGUCUGGUGCCAGCAGCCGCGGUAAUUCCAGCUCCAAUAGCGUAUAUUAAAGUUGUUGCAGUUAAAAAGCUCGUAGUUGAAUUUCGGGAUCAAUGUUUCGGUCAUGCCGUUGGUAUGUACUGAUAUUAUUGAUUUCUCACCUUCUAAAGAACCGUAAUGCCAUUAAUUUGGUGUCACGGGGAAUUAGGACUGUUACCUUGAAAAAAUUAGAGUGUUUAAAGCAGGCUCACGCUUGAAUACAUUAGCAUGGAAUAAUGAAAUAGGACAUCCGAUUCUAUUUUGUUGGUUUCUAGGAUCGAUGUAAUGAUUAAUAGGGAUAGUUGGGGGCAUUAGUAUUCAAUUGUCAGAGGUGAAAUUCUUGGAUUUAUUGAAGACUAACUACUGCGAAAGCAUUUGCCAAGGAUGUUUUCAUUAAUCAGGAACGAAAGUUAGGGGAUCGAAGACGAUCAGAUACCGUCGUAGUCUUAACCAUAAACUAUGCCGACUAGGGAUCGGAUGAUGUUAAUUUUUUAAUGACUCAUUCGGCGCCUUACGGGAA
rnacentral:rRNA from 1 species